UACGUAGGCAGCGAGCGUUGUUCGGAGUUACUGGGCGUAAAGAGUGCGUAGGCGGUUUUCUAAGUUUGGUGUGAAAUCUCCCGGCUUAACUGGGAGGGUGCGCCGAAAACUGGAAGGCUUGAGUAUGGGAGAGGUAAGCGGAAUUCCUGGUGUGGCGGUGAAAUGCGUAGAUAUCAGGAGGAACACCUGCGGUGUAGACGGCUUACUGGACCAUAACUGACGCUGAGGCACGAAAGCGUGGGUAGCAAACAGG
rnacentral:rRNA from 1 species